AGCCAGACUCCUACGGGAGGCAGCAGUGGGGAAUAUUGCACAAUGGGGGAAACCCUGAUGCAGCGACGCCGCGUGAGCGAGGAAGUAUUUCGGUAUGUAAAGCUCUGUCAGCAGGGAAGAAGAAUGACGGUACCUGAAGAAGAAGCACCGGCUAAAUACGUGCCAGCAGCCGCGGUAAUACGUAUGGUGCAAGCGUUAUCCGGAUUUACUGGGUGUAAAGGGAGCGCAGGCGGUUCUGCAAGUCUGAUGUGAAAGCCCGGGGCUCAACCGCGGGACUGCAUUGGAAACUGCGGGACUGGAGUGUCGGAGGGGUAAGCGGAAUUCCUGGUGUAGCGGUGAAAUGCGUAGAUAUCAGGAGGAACACCGGUGGCGAAGGCGGCUUACUGGACGAUGACUGACGCUGAGGCUCGAAAGCGUGGGGAGCAAACAGGAUUAGAUACCCCGGUACC
rnacentral:rRNA from 1 species